UGGGGAAUAUUGGACAAUGGGGGGAACCCUGAUCCAGCCAUGCCGCGUGUGUGAAGAAGGCCUUAUGGUUGUAAAGCACUUUAAGCGAGGAGGAGGGUACUGGUAUUAAUACUACCAGCUACUGGACGUUACUCGCAGAAUAAGCACCGGCUAACUCUGUGCCAGCAGCCGCGGUAAUACAGAGGGUGCGAGCGUUAAUCGGAUUUACUGGGCGUAAAGCGUGCGUAGGCAGCUAAUUGAGUCGGAUGUGAAAUCCCCGAGCUUAACUGGGGAAUUGCAUUCGAUACUGGUCAGCUAGAGUAUGGGAGAGGAUGGUAGAAUUCCAGGUGUAGCGGCGAAAUGCGUAGAGAUCUGGAGGAAUAGCGAUGGCGAAGGCAGCCAUCUGGCCUAAUACUGAAGCUGAGGUACGAAAGCAUGGGGAGCAAACAGG
rnacentral:rRNA from 1 species